rnacentral:tRNA from 1 species
GCGGGUGUAGUACACUGGCAGUAUAUCUCCUUCCCAAGGAGAAGAAGAGGGUUCGAUUCCCUUCACCCGCU